AUCGUAGAAAGAAGGAAACAUGUGAUCCACACUCGGCCUUCCACUACUCACAAAUGAUAUGUCAGUAUCCGACGAGAGCUCAUAUGACUUGUUAGCUGAAGCUCCUCCUCUUGUGAAUGGUGACCUGCAUCAUAUUUAUUAGGGAAUGCUCAGGUGUGCUUUGCCUGGAAAUGCAGAUAGUGGUUGAAUGAAAGCAUCGGCAAAAAUUUCUUAGUGAAAGGCCACUUACCUAUAAGCUAAUCAUUUUAAUACUGCUUAAAUGGAGGUACGUAGAUACUUACUAGGUACAACCAAAAUAAGGAGCUGAAUUAACUAAUCGGUAUCUACACCUCUUCCAUAGUUAAUUGUUUUAAGCAUCAUUGUCUAUGCCUUUUGUUCCCCAGACGAUAAAUGUACCAGAGCUUACUUGAUUUGAAUUUCAUCUUGCUGGCUUUGUGGUGGAUACUGCGCCCUCUCCCAUGCUGUAUUGGUAAAAGAAACUUGAUUGAGUAAUGACAAAAAACCAGACGUGAGGUGGGAAAUAACAGAUGCUAGAACAUAAUCUGAACUUGCGACCUAAAAAAAUGAAAAAACCGAAUCUGGCCGACCUCUGGGUUGCUGGUUGUGGCUGAAUUGCGUAUCAUUUGUGUCAGAAGCUUUGUUUGUUUGGUGCUGUUUUUGAUUAGGCAAGUAAGCUUUCUGGGACAGUGAAGUGGUAGCAGCUCGCAUAUAUGAUAUCUUUCCCUUGCCAAUGACAUACACAGUGCAGAAACUCGGUGCCUCUUUUGAGACAGUGUUUGGAACGUCUGUUGUUUUGAAUCUGUGACGAGAUUGAUAUAAUUAUGAUGCAUGCGUAAUUGAUGGCUUCCGACAAGCAAAAACUGAGUUAAGACUACAAUGUGCGGAACCAGAUCUUGAAUAAAUGAUUUCUCAGACCAUCAAAUUUUCGGCAUAUGUGAGCUGGUAUUAGUUGAGUCAGAUCUAUGAAAGUUUUCUCAGUUCAUUGGAUUUUAAAGAUGUAAUACUUAACUACCUACAAUUAUAGUUCCAUUCAAAUAAAUGAAUGAAUUAUACAUUUUA